UUGCUCAGUGUCUACCUCAUGAUCUUAUUGCUCUUCUUGCUAGCCCCUCGCACAUUAGCUACUUGCUUACAACACUUGUUUCACUCUCUGUUGUGCUUGUUUAGAAUACUUGCUUAGAAUAUUUGAUCCAACUUAGCUUCACCUUGUUCCUGCUGUGCCCUAUGCUUGCUGCCAAACUAUCACCGAGUUACUGCCAAACUGUCGACAAA
rnacentral:lncRNA from 1 species